rnacentral:rRNA from 1 species
UACAGAGGGGGCAAGCGUUAUUCGGAAUUAUUGGGCGUAAAGGGCGCGUAGGCGGCCUGGCAAGUGGAUGGUGAAAUCCCUCGGCUUAACCGAGGAACUGCCAUCCAGACUGCUUGGCUUGAGACCGGGAGAGGUGAGUGGAAUUCCCAGUGUAGCGGUGAAAUGCGUAGAUAUUGGGAGGAACACCAGUGGCGAAGGCGGCUCACUGGACCGGUACUGACGCUGAGGCGCGAAAGCCAGGGGAGCAAACGGG